GGGGGUGGCGUCAUGCUCAGAGUGACUCUGUAGACACUGGGUGGGAUGGGGGGGUGUGGGUGCAGGCAUGGAUGGGGCUGUUACUCUAGCAUGAUGCUUGAGGUCUGAGCUGAUGGCGGCAAAGUGGGGUGCUCAGGAAUCAAAGCUAUGGGGUUAUAGACAGAAUAUGAAGAAGGGAGGGAAGCAAGAAGAAGGGGGUGGUUCUCACGCUUCUAGCUCCGGCCGAGUGGAUGGCAACAGCAUUUAGAAGGCGGAGGACAUGGAAUUCAUGUGUCAGGAGCCACCUUCCGAGCCUCCAGUACCACGUGUCAGGGCCACAUGAGCUGGGCCUCGUGGGCCUGAUGUGGUGCUGGGGCCUCAGGGGUCUGCUCUUCUCCUCUUUCAGAAUCUGGGGCUCCAGGCUCUGCCUUGGCUGGACUGAGGUCUGGGGGUGCACUUAUUAUCCCUGGGGACACCUGCUGAAGCUUCUCCCUGACAAGCCAAGUGUCGCUGUUGGAUGAGGAUGGGGCGGGAGGGACUCAGGGCAGAAGAAGACCAGGAGGGUCUUUCAAAAGAACUCAUGUACGGCUGUUAAAAAAAGUCAGCAGAAGCUCAGGAAGACUUAAAGUGUCUUUAAGACAGAAGGCGGGGAAAGGAGGGCCCAUUGCAUGCACCAAGAGAAACUGGAAGGAACAGGUGACUUUGGCUGCUGGGAGAGCCUUAUCCCAACAUCUAGGGGCUGUCCUGAUGGGUCACAGUGGGUCGAACUGAGCCAAUGGGAGAAGCUCUGGGGGUAGGUGGUACCCUGGAGAGUAGGUGGGUUUGGGUUGCAUGAAUUCUCUGUGUCCUUUUGGAAACGCAGAGACCAGGAGGGGGCAUCAGGGCUCUUAGGGUCUUUGACCCUUAAGAGUUUUGCAUCUGGAAUUCAAAGGGUCUUUAGUUCCGGGAUGCUGAGAUUCGGGAUAGGGUUCCUAAUGGCACAAAAGCCAGGGAUAAAAUGUCUUUCACGUGCUCCCCACCCGGUUCUUUCUGAACCAGACCCACAAGGUCCGAGUUGCGAUCCUAGUGCUCCUGUCUGGUCAGGGCCUAUCUUUAUGUGUUCGUUCAACUUUUAAAAAUGAGAACAAAUUCUGUCUCUUGACAUUGUCAUUUGCAUGUGCCCCACACACAAAUCCUUUCCUGGUGACACGAGGAGCUACAACUCUCCUCGGCCGCCUCCUGUGACUCCCAACUCCCUCCUUGGGAAGCUUGGCCUCAGGGCCUCUGGGACAGACAGGUCCUAAUGUAAAUGGUAUGGAUGACAUUUGACCUAGAGCAGUGGGAAACGCAUCCACCACUCAACAUUCUGACAUGUCACCCAUUUUACAUUCUUACGGGUAUUUUUUUUAAAAAAAGAGUGUCUAUUUUUUAAUGAGCAUCCCUUCUUUAAAAAAACCUAAUUGCCAUUAUUCACCACAUACACUUUUUUUUUUUUAUCCUGCCCCUUCUGUUUAAUAUUCUGUCAUCAACAUUUUCCCUUGUUCCAUUCAUCUUCAUAACCUCACUGGCUGCGUUGUGCCUUGUUGAGUGGCUAUGGCGUCAUUCACAGAACCUUUCGGUUAUUCUUAUGUAUAACCACCUUUUAAAAAUAUUAUGAAUAAUGCCACAACUAACUGCUUAGAACACCCUUUUUUUCAUUCUUAAGAAUUAUGUUCUUCCACCCAGAAAUUAUCAUUGCUUCAUUACAGAUCAGUUUCCCCUGCUAGACUGUGAGCCCCAUAUGGGCAAGGAGCUUAUUGAAUUGGCCUUUGUAUCUCUGAUGCCCAACAUGUCAUAGACUCUAAGUAAACGAUGGAAGAUUGGAUGGAAGAAUGGAGGAAGGAGCGAGUGAGUGAGUGUUUGGCUGAUGGAUAAUUGGCUGAUGGAUAAGAGGGGGAAGGAUGGGUGAAUACAUGGAUUGGUGAAUGAAUGAAUGAAUGAAUUUCCUUUGGUUAAGUCCCUUGAAGUAAAGGCUAUGGAUCUUUGUAUGGAUAUUGAUUAAUUUCAGAAGGCUUACAGCAUUUUACAAUGUUCAGCUAUGUAUGACUAUUUAAUUAAGAUUUGGCUAGUUUGUCUCUGUUCUAAAGUACUUUUGCAUUACUCUAACUUGCAUUGCCUUAAUUACUAAUGACGGGCGAACACUUUCACCUAUGUUUGUUAACAAAUUGUAUUUUCUCUUCUGUGAACUGUUUGUCCAAGCCCCUUGGGUCAUGGCUUUUGGAAGAGACUGGUCCCAGGUGUCCUUGGGAUGUAGGGAGCCCUUACCUCACUGGAGGCAUUCAGGGAACCAGCUAGGUAGCCCUCAGGGAAGAUAGUGUUUAGGAGACUCCCAUGGUGCGGGGUUGGCCUAGGUGGCCUUUCAGGUUCUUUACAGAUCAGUUUUCCCUGCUAGACUGCGAGCCCCAUGUGGGGCUUUGCUUAUUAGGAUUUGCUUAUCCCUGGGAAGUGGGUGAUGGGGACAAGGACACCUUCCAUUGGCAGGUGGAGACACUGCAGGCUGGACCUCCUGGGGGUGCUCGUGAACUCCGAUCUUGCCCUCCAUAAAACCCCUGUGGGACAGGAAUAGCUCUCUGAACCUCCAAGGUCCAGAUGGCCACAUCCUAGCACCCUGUACGAUCAGUUGGUGGCCUUCCCACCAGCCCAGUCUUUGGGGUUUAACUGGUGAAUGGAACAUUUUUGGAUCAGGACUGAUGGGAGAAUCCCCUUUUAUUUUUCUUCACCUGGGGCAAUUACAUUCCAAGGAGCAGAAUAAAGGGCAUGUUCUGCCCAAAGCAUCAGGGCUCACAGGUCAGUCACAGCCAUUUGGGGAGGGCACAUCACCCAAAGAGGGCUUGCCCUUCUUUCCAGAGCAUCCUCCGCUCUCAGCAGAGCUGCUUCUGCCCACCCAUCCCUCUACUAUAGCACUGAGCACUGUUUGCCUGUGUCAGAAUCGCUCACCCACAUGUUUAGCUUUGUAUCCAAGCUUGGGAGGCCGACGAUGACUUUCAACAUGAAUUGCUCCAUCUACCCAUCCAUGCACUCGGCCUGCUUAUCUUGACCCCGUGCUUUUGGCUUUUUCUUCUCCUGAAAGCAAACCCUUUCAUUUUGGGUGGGCUGUGUAGCACCAUGGGCUGUGGUUAUGAAGCAAACACCUUUUCUUAUAGCUCCUCCUCCGGGUUACUGCUCUGAGCGCAUCCCAGCUGGAUCUCAUCUGCCACUGUCACCCACGGCUUCUUCCCCACGGUGCUUUCCAUGUGUCACACACCACGACUCUGACCCAGGGUCAGGGUCCCAGAGUAGCCCUGGGCCAAGCCCUCCACCCAUGAGCGGAGAGGUCCUGCCCAGGCCUCGCCUUGCCUGGCGCGUGGUCCCUGCCAUGAGCUUUGCGUUCAGCUUUUCAGCUUCCUCCACCAGACGGCAGUGGUUGUAACUCAUCCAUUCAUUCCUUCAUUCCUUCCUUCCUUCACUCACAGCCAAUAAACAUUAGAAAAAAAUUAGCCAGUGCUAUACUAGAGCUGGCUCCCAAGGACCCACUGCCACAUUGCCUUUUGAAAGGAAACAAUGAACAUUUUGGUAAAGGGGCCGUGCUUGUGUGUCGGUGACAAGGUGAGAUCCCUGAGUCAGCUCAGGCUCGUAGAUUCGAGUUCUGUUGCAAGUUUCACUGCCCCUCUGACUUUGUCCCCUGUACAAGUAGGUUGAUUAGGAAUCAGCCAACUGUGUUCCCUGGGUGCUCAGAAAUCACAGCCCAUAUCCUCGAGAAGCCAAAAUGAGAGCCAGGGGUUCCGAGAUGAGUGGCUGCUUCUGGCUGUGAGCAGGCUUUCAAGUCAUUAGAACACUCUGGCCUUUCCUGGAGGUGAUCUUGGAGCCAUUCCUGCCCCUUUCAAGAGGAGUUAAUGCCCAGCUCUAUUUAGAGAAAAUUGGGGGAGAUGAUUGCUCAUGUGGGUGAUAAGAAUCACCUCCCGUGCAGGGUUCUGCGUGGAACACUCCAUUGGCAACCCUGGGUGUCCAAGGCACGUGGCAUUUUGCAAACUAAGGGCACAGCUCCAAGCUGUCCUGCAGGUCCCAGACCAGGUGAGAACUCCCUGAGUUCCUGCUGCAUGGGUAGGGGGUGAGGCAUCGGUCUUGGGGCUUCCACCUGGAAUUCUGAAUGUUAUUCAUUGCAUUGGAGAGGAAGGAGAGUAGGCAAAGCCAAGACCCGGGAGCUGGACAAACCUGUGUGGUUUAAAGUCACUGUGAGAGCUGGAGUUGAGCCUGCCCUCCGGGGAGGACUGCGGCACCUACCUCGCAGGGCUGUUGUGAGGAGCAAUGUAACCGUCAUUUUGAACUGUGAUUCUGGAAGGGCGGUGUGCGUGUCCCCGGGGGUGUGCCAAGGGAGUGAGGAUAAAAGGCCAGGGAGACAGCCUGUCUCAGGUGGCUGAGUGGGAAAGUGUUUCUCUCUAAACAUGGAGGGGUGUAUGGUGGGACAGGAGGAAUUUUGGCAGGAACUUUCAUGCUAGGGGUUUGGGGGACUCUUUGGGCAAUGCCCCUGGACCCCCCGGGGGUACGGUUCACGCUCACCUCUGAGAGGCUGGAAGCUCCUGACUGUGCUUUCUGAAUGCUGUGUGCUUCCUGCCUCUGUGCCUGGCCUGUGGGCAGCACCUACUUCAAAAGGCCCCUCUGGGUAGUGUCCUUUUCCCCAAAAUAUUAGGCACCAGCCAUCAAAGACACUGCAUUGUCCCCUCCUCCACCCCUCCCAUAACUGACAACUUUUGGGCUCAAGUGCCGGCAGGCUGGGUGCCCAACACAGUGCCUGGCGAGUGGUAGCGCUUGCCUUUCUUUUCUGUUGAAUGAAUGGAUAGCUAAUGAAAUUGUAACCAAUGACAAGCCUUGAUGUUUAUAACCUUUACUAAGAGAUUAUUAUUUUGCUCUUCAUGAACCUGUUAACAACUGCCAUAUUGUAUCUUACGGACGUUUGUAUGCCAUGUUUGAAGAGCAGGAGCCUUGUUUCGGCAUCAUGUGAUGGAAUCUGAGCUGUCUGAUGAGAAUCUGUGUUUUGUGUUAGAAAGAGCCUGGGCCUUAGGAUCUGGCAGACCCAGGGGCCACUUAAUUAACCUUUUGCCUCUUUGACCCUUGAUCUCCUUUUCUCUAAGCCAUAGGUCACCAGAAAGCCUACCUCACAGGGCUGUUGUGAGGGCCGAGGGUGGGUGUGCUGUAACCGUGCUGUGCAGAUGCUGGCUUUCCCUGGGAAUGGGCAUAUGGUGGGGUUUGUCUUGAAAGCAUGAGUGAUGGCUUUACUAGUCCUAAGUGAAUAAAAAGUUAGCCCUGACCUUACGCUGGGAUUGCAUUUCCCACAGUCAGUGGCAUGUGCAAACCAGUGGUGGAGCAGCCUGCAGGUGCUUAGCUAUGUGGGCCCAGAGUAAAUAUUUGUUUGAUUGAUAAGUGAUGGCUUUUUCCUUCCUCAGAGGUUACCCCGCCCCCCCGUUCCACCAUGGGCUGCUGCGUCUCCCCAGCAGGUUGUAGCUGGCAGGGCCAUUGUGCUUUGGGGUUUGCUGUACCUGUCGGUGCCAUGAGGGGGGGCGGUCUGUCUGCUUGGAGGGGCUUCUGCAAACAUUCAUGUAUGCCCCUGGUUUCGUUUGUUAGGGAGGAGGAGUGGGGGUGACCUAGGGAGAGGAUGAGGAAGGGGUUCUGGGUGGCAUCCUUGGGGUACUAACCCUCCCUUCACCCUGUGCUCUGAAUUUCCACACGGCCCUUUUCUUUCCCUGGUAGAAGGUACUGAAGGUAGGCUUUGCCACCUUCUCUGGGUCUGGCACCAAGCUUGGGGGUCUUGUACACUUUCCCUUCUCUAACUGGGAUGUGGGCCCAUUUCCUAGAUGAGCUUGCUGAGACUCAGGACAGCUGGUAUCAGAGCCGGGACUUCCCAGUCUUGCACAAACAACCUGUGCUUUUUUGAGUCCACCAAAUAAGGCCUCCUACCUGGUCCGGUUCAUCCCUGCCAGCCCCCAGCAACUGCAGCCUGGGCGUCCCCACUCCUGCCGAGUGCCUAGGAGUGCUCUGGAAGAGGAGUGCAGGGAUGAAGAAGGAGGCUGUGCCCUCCAGGGGACUCAGCUGCAUUAGAGAAGGUGCUGCUGCGCUGGCGGGGGUCUCCGGACAUCCCAGGCAGGGGUCGUUUCUGAUCAGGGAUCUCUUCACCAGACCACCAUAUUCCUUUUCCAGCCCUCAUCUCUUGCAUGUGGGGGUGCAGUAUUUGGCUCUCACAUCCCCACAUUCCAGCUGGUGGGGGUUUGAGCUGGAUGUUCCUUCUGCUCCCCACUCCCCACUCCUGGUCCCCACCCCAUGCAAGGCUCCCUUGCCCCCACUCUUUGUCUCCAGCUUUCCCAGCCUCGGUGGGCAGGCACCUGGGCCCCUUGCCGCCCCAGGCCUCAUCCACCCGCCUCUUCUUUCUCAGCCUGAGCUUUACUGUGAGGUCUAGGAGUCACACCUUGGUCCCUGCCAUGCCUGCCCCCAGGAGCACCCACAUGGGUCCCCUGAUUCUCCCCUCCCCUGGGCUUUGCUGGGGAGCCCUUGCAGUGUGGCCUUGGGGUCUGCCCCAUGCCCAUCCCCUGUUCUUGAGAACCUGGAAGCAGAGGGAGCCCCUCCUAUUGCUCCCAAGGGGCUCCACAGUAGGAGAUUCUGAGUCUGUGUUUAGGUAUCUAUUCCUGGAUGGGGCUUGGGGUCCCCUCAGGCCAGGCCUGUGUGUGACCUAAGGCUGGGGGGGCUCUAUUAGGCACCUAGUGUCCCUUGGAGUUGGGCGGGGCUGGGUCCUGGACUCCUGAGGGCGGGUGGGGAGACAGGCUCAGGGAGAUUUCCAUGAAGCUGCCCUUGAAGCCCUGCUCUGAGGCCUGCACUGCCCUGACCCUUUACACCCUGCCUCCUGCACUAGUAGGCACCUAACAGAUGCUCGCCACCUGUGGAGGGCGGGGUUUAAAUGGCUGGAAAGAGCUGAGUGGGCCGGCUGGCUAGUGUACGUGCAUUUGUUUAAGAGGAAAGGGUGUGUUUCUUGGCAAAGACUCUUCGGAGGAAACUCUGAACUGGGGAAGGGUCUCUACCUGUUCUGGAGCCUCACUGCCCUUCCUGCCAGUCUGGGGACAAACUCACUGGUGGGUUUCCCCCAGUGGAAACACAGUAUUUUGGAAAUAUUUAGAUCUAGGAUAAAACUUCAUCUGGACCAACAUGUGUGUGUUGGUGGUGUGGCCCAGGUGAUUUUGAGACUGUAGAAUACAUUUGGCAAUUUCCAAAUGGAGGGAUGACUUGCUCCUCCGCCCCCCAUGCCCGCCCUGAGGCUGGAGGCCUCAGAAGCCCCUGCCUUGGGAGGAGCCUGUUCCACCUGAGAAGGCUUUGUCCCCACCAUUGGUGAUAAUCAGUGUUGACCUGUGAGGCACCUGCCAGGUUUGGGAUGCAGCCUUAGAUAUUCAGAAAACUGGGGGUUGAGGAGUGUGGGGAUCAGACCCCAGAGCUUGAGUCCUUUUGUCUGUCUCACCCCGAAGAAUGGUGCAUGGGUACCAGGUAGGUUACUUGAACCACCCUGAGCCUCGAUUUUCCCACCUGUUAGAAAUGGGGUAAUUCAUGACAGUGUCUGCUCGGGAGAUGGCUGUGACCCCGAGAAUCCUGGCUGCAUGCCUUAGACUGGCUCGUGAGACUCAAGGUCUGGGUUGAAGGUCCCCCCAUCCCCUUCUGACAGUUUGCUGUUUUUAACCUGGAAAGCAUCACACUUGCCUGGCACGGUUAUUGUGGGAUUCAAUGAGAUUGUUUGUGUGAAAUAAAUGCUUUGUGACCUGGCACACAGGCGCUCUCACCCCGGCUCUCCUGGUGGGCCUGGACCGCUGGGUACUGGCUGCAGAGGCCCUGUGCUCCCUGGAACUGUCUGCGCUGGUCCCGGGGACUCUUGGGCAGAGUGGAGGGCAAGGGGGGAAGCACCAGCCCACUCUGGGGAGACAGUGGCAGAGGGAAGGGUUUGCUUUUAAAUACAGAGACUCAGCAGGUUCAGGUGGGAGAUGAUCAGAGGGGAAAUGUUUAUAACCCUCAGGAGGAGGAAGAGUCCGA